CAAGGUGCCGAAAGACACUUAUGGUCUAUGUUGCCAAAAGGCAUACAAGCGCCUGAAUGGUGGCAGCUGUGACACCAUGAUUGGCACCUGGGACUGUCCUCCUGGCUUCACUGGGGCAGACUGCAGUCAAAGAGAAUCAAUGGGAGAAAGUUUCUCAUGCCAAUGCAUCUUCAAAAGCUAUGGUUCCUCUGGACAGUGGAUGUAUUUUUCUCCUAAGGAAGCUGUGAUCUGUUACUUUCCAUUUUUUACCUUGACUACUAGAUAGAUUAGAGCCAAAUUUGCAGCCUGCCUCUUGCAAGUUCAAAUAAUUUUGAAGUAUAUUUAUCUUGUCUUGAAGAUCACUAUGGGCAGGACUGUGUCCAGAUAUGUUCCUGUGGCUCAGGAGAGUGUGACUGGAG